rnacentral:tRNA from 1 species
UAGGGUAGAGCUCAGUGGUAGAGUGUGUGCUUAGCAUGCAUGAGGUCCUGGGUUCAAUCCCUGGUGCCCCCA